GGCCUACCAUGGUGGUAACGGGUAACGGGGUGUUAGGGCACGACACCGGAGAGGGAGCCUGAGAAACGGCUACCACAUCCAAGGAUGGCAGCAGGCGCGCAAAUUACCCAAUCCCGACACGGGGAGGUAGUGACAAUAAAUAACAAUACGGGGUCCUUUCGGGUUUCGUAAUUGGAAUGAGUACAAUUUAAAUCUCUUAACGAGGAACAAUUGGAGGGCAAGUCUGGUGCCAGCAGCCGCGGUAAUUCCAGCUCCAAUAGCGUAUAUUAAAGUUGUUGCCGUUAAAAAGCUCGUAGUUGAAUUUCGGGAUUAGUGCGCCGGUCGUGCCUUCGGUAUGUACUGGUGCUACUGGUUCCUACCUUCUGACGGACCGUCAUGUCAUUAAUUUGGUGUGGCGGGGAAUCAGGACUGUUACUUUGAAAAAAUUAGAGUGUUUAAAGCAGGCUCGCGCUUGAAUACAUUAGCAUGGAAUAAUGAAAUAGGACGUUCGAUCCUAUUUUGUUGGUUUCUAGGAUUGACGUAAUGAUUAAUAGGGAUAGUUGGGGGCAUUAGUAUUCAAUUGUCAGAGGUGAAAUUCUUGGAUUUAUUGAAAACUAACUACUGCGAAAGCAUUUGCCAAGGAUGUUUUCAUUAAUCAAGAACGAAAGUUAGGGGAUCGAAGACGAUCAGAUACCGUCGUAGUCUUAACCAUAAACUAUGCCGACUAGGGAUCGGAUGAUGUUAUUUUCAAUGACUCAUUCGGCGCCUUACGGGAAACCAAAGUGUUUGGGUUC
rnacentral:rRNA from 1 species